GACGAACGCUGGCGGCGUGCUUAACACAUGCAAGUCGAACGGAAAGGCCCUGCUUUUGUGGGGUGCUCGAGUGGCGAACGGGUGAGUAACACGUGAGUAACCUGCCCUUGACUUUGGGAUAACUUCAGGAAACUGGGGCUAAUACCGGAUAGGAGCUCCUGCUGCAUGGUGGGGGUUGGAAAUUUUCGGCGGGUGGGGAUGGACUCGCGGCUUAUGAGCUUGUUGGUGGGGUAGUGGCUUACCAAGGCUUUGACGGGUAGCCGGCCUGAGAGGGUGACCGGCCACAUUGGGACUGAGAGACGGCCCAGACUCCUACGGGAGGCAGCAGGGGGGAAUAUUGCACAAUGGGCGGGAGCCUGAUGCAGCAACGCCGCGUGCGGGAUGACGGCCUUCGGGUUGUAAACCGCUUUAGCCUGUGACGAAGCGUGAGUGACGGUAAUGGGUAAAGAAGCACCGGCUAACUACGUG
rnacentral:rRNA from 1 species